rnacentral:rRNA from 1 species
GCAGGCGCGCAAAUUGCCCAAUGUCAAAACAAAACGAUGAGGCAGCGAAAAGAAAUAGAGUUGUCAGUCCAUUUGGAUUGUCAUUUCAAUGAGGGAUAUUUAAACCCAUCGAAAAUCUAGUAACAAUUGGAGGACAAGUCUGGUGCCAGCACCCGCGGUAAUUCCAGCUCCAAAAGCGUAUAUUAAUGCUGUUGCUGUUAAAGGGUUCGUAGUUGAACUGUGGGCUGUGUAGGUUUGUUCCUGGUCGUCCCGUCCAUGUCGGAUUUUGGUGGCCCAGGCCCUUGCAGCCCGUGAACAUUCAAAGAAACAAGAAACACGGGAGYGGUUCCUUUCCUGACUCACGCAUGUCAUGCAUGCUGCAGGGGGCGUCCGUGAUUUUUACUGUGACUAAAGAAGUGUGACUAAAGCAGUCAUUUGACUUGAAUUAGCA